GACGAACGCUGGCGGCGUGCUUAACACAUGCAAGUCGAACGGAAAGGCCCUGCUUGCAGGGUGCUCGAGUGGCGAACGGGUGAGUAACACGUGGGUGAUCUGCCCCUUACUUUGGGAUAAGCCUGGGAAACUGGGUCUAAUACUGGAUAGGACCAUGCUGUAGGUGGUGUGGUGGAAAGAUUAGUUUCGGUAAGGGAUGAGCUCGCGGCCUAUCAGCUUGUUGGUGGGGUAAUGGCCUACCAAGGCGUCGACGGGUAGCCGGCCUGAGAGGGUGGACGGCCACAUUGGGACGGAGAUACGGCCCAGACGCCUGCGGGAGGCAGCAGAGGGGAAUAUUGCACAAUGGGCGCAAGCCUGAUGCAGCGACGCCGCGUGGGGGAUGACGGCCUUCGGGUUGUAAACUCCUUUCAGCCAUGACGAAGCCCUUGUGGUGACGGUAGUGGUAGAAGAAGCACCGGCUAACUACGUG
rnacentral:rRNA from 1 species